rnacentral:tRNA from 1 species
UAGAAAAUAAUGUAAGGGGAGCAUAGAGAGUUUUGAUCUGUUUUGUGUAGGUUCAAUUCCUACUUUUCUAA